AAGUAAGACAAUCCCUGUCUUUAAGUAGGGAUGAAUUACUCCAAGAAAAUUGAUCCCAAUUUUCUCUACAAGUCAAGCAUCUUUU
rnacentral:pre_miRNA from 1 species